rnacentral:rRNA from 1 species
CACGUAGGGUGCGAGCGUUGUCCGGAAUUAUUGGGCGUAAAGAGCUCGUAGGCGGUGUGUCACGUCGGCCGUGAAAACCUGCAGCUUAACUGUGGGCGUGCGGUCGAUACGGGCAUCACUGGAGUUCGGCAGGGGAGACUGGAAUUCCUGGUGUAGCGGUGAAAUGCGCAGAUAUCAGGAGGAACACCGGUGGCGAAGGCGGUUCUCUGGGCAUUACCUGACGCUGAGGAGCGAAAGUGUGGGGAGCGAACAGG